rnacentral:rRNA from 1 species
GACGAACGCUGGCGGCGUGCUUAACACAUGCAAGUCGAACGGAAAGGCCCUGCUUUUGUGGGGUGCUCGAGUGGCGAACGGGUGAGUAACACGUGAGUAACCUGCCCUUGACUUUGGGAUAACUUCAGGAAACUGGGGCUAAUACCGGAUAGGAGCUCCUGCUGCAUGGUGGGGGUUGGAAAGUUUCGGCGGUUGGGGAUGGACUCGCGGCUUAUCAGCUUGUUGGUGGGGUAGUGGUUUACCAAGGCUUUGACGGGUAGCCGGCCUGGGAGGGUGACCGGCCACAAUGGGACUGCGAUACGGCCCAGACUCCUACGGGAGGCAGCAGUGGGGAAUAUUGCACAAUGGGCGGAAGCCUGAUGCAGCAACGCCGCGUGCGGGAUGACGGCCUUCGGGUUGUAAACCGCUUUCGCCUGUGACGAAGCGUGAGUGACGGUAAUGGGUAAAGAAGCACCGGCUAACUACGUG